CGUCUGCUGUGCUGUAUGCAUUCGCUGUUAGACACUUAGCCGGUUACGCCCAGUUUAUGCGUAGUCGUGAAUUCGCAUUUAUAGUAACGUAAAUUCGUUAUAACACGGGUCAAAGUUGUGAUUAAAGCAAAGCGUAGGUGACGUUCCAUACAGCAAUGCUCUGCCAUAAAGCAAUUAUUCAAAGGUUACACCUUGAUGUCUACUUCCAUGAAAAGAUGUUCUGUAAAUUUCCGACUUCACAAAAAUAUCAUCAUAGAAAUUUGGAAGAAAACUGGAAGCUAGAGUCAAAUCGGCAUCAAGCAGCCUGUCUCUCCUGAUCCAGGUGGAUGAACCCUGGUGUGUGUUUCAAUCAGAGUUAGGCCUACCUGCAUUACCAAGGAUCAAAGACAUCAACAUUGUGGCUGCAUAGAACAGUGACAUCCAGCACAUUGUGGCUGAACAGCUAUUCCGGAUUUCCGUCCCCAUCAUGUCAUUCAGUGAAAUGAAUAUUGAGCAUCAGACACACCGACCCCAAUUUUUUCGUCCGUUGAUGGAGCGCGGAAGUCCGGCAGCGUCAGACAGUGGCCCAGCAUUGCCACAAGUAACGAUGGCUCCGUCGUCGCUGGAGAAAAUCUGAUUGACUGAGGGUUCGCCAUCUCAUUCGGGUCUAUACAGCAGUCAACAUUCUCAACAACGUUCGAGUACAAGAUUGUCCCACGUCUUACGAUAGGUUAGGAGUAAGUAACGAUUUUACUGUGUUCGCAGAUAUACGGUCUGAACUGCCACCGGAAGUACGUUACAUGACAUAUUUUUAUCACAUCUUUAUUUUCCACAUGUGGAGUCGUCCACUCGUAUGAAGACUUUGAAGAGAACGUGAAGGUCCUCUAACUUACACGCCAGCCUGUUGCGGUUUUGAAGGGAAAGUUGAUGUUUUUCCUUCCAAACUGUACAGACUACAGAACUUCGUUAAAUUUGUGUCAAAGAAAUAAUAGAAAUUUUAAGUAUCUUGUACUGUUAUGUAUUCGGCGAUCUGUAUCAGAAAAUCUGUGCCGAAAUUCAUAAUAAUUCAUCAUUUUUACACUCUGAUAAAAUCUUUUUGUCAUCAAUCUGGCGCUUUUGAUAAGGUCCACGAGUCUUUUUCAAAAGUAUUAUUUUUACAUAUUUUUACUUCUUCCUUUCUUGUGUUCAACAAGUUUGUAGCAGGUCCACACUUGCGUUUGGCAGUUUGAUUGACUAUUUUAAACCUAUUUACCCUUUUUUAAAUUCAGAUGAAAGCCAAACUUUCAAUCAGGGGAAACCGGGGGAAUCCUCUACUGUUGUUCAAUACGUCCAUCGCUGAAUAAAGUCACUUUAAUUCA